GACGUAGGGCGCGAGCGUUGUCCGGAUUAUUGGGCGUAAAGAGCUCGUUAGGCGGCUGUCGCGUCAACUGUGAAAACCCGUGGCUCAACCAUGUGGUCGUGCAGUCGAUACGGGCAGGCUAGAAUUCGGUAGGGGAGACUGGAAAUUCCUGGUGUAGCGGUAGAAAUGCGCAGAGUAUCAGGAGGAACACCGGUGGCGAAGGCGGGUCUCUGGGCCGAUAUUGACGUGGAGGAGCGAAAGCGUGGGGAGCAAACAGG
rnacentral:rRNA from 1 species